CCCGCACAAGCGGUGGAUGAUGUGGUUAAUUCGAUGCAACGCGAAAACUUACCACCUUUGACAUGUACGGAAGUCCUUUAGAGAUAGAGGAGUGCUCGAAAGAGAGCCGUAACACAGGUGCUGCAUGGCUGUCGUCAGCUCGUGUCGUGAGAUGUUGGGUUAAGUCCCGCAACGAGCGCAACCCUUGUCAUUAGUUGCUACAUUCAGUUGGGCACUCUAAUGAGACUGCCGGUGACAAACCGGAGGAAGGUGGGGAUGACGUCAAGUCCUCAUGGCCCUUAUAGGUGGGGCUACACACGUCAUACAAUGGAUGGUACAAAGGGUCGCCAACCCGCGAGGGGGAGCCAAUCCCAUAAAGCCAUUCGUAGUCCGGAUCGCAGUCUGCAACUCGACUGCGUGAAGUCGGAAUCGCUAGUAAUCGUGGAUCAGAAUGUCACGGUGAAUACGUUCCCGGGUCUU
rnacentral:rRNA from 1 species